rnacentral:rRNA from 1 species
GAUGAACGCUGGCGGCGUGCCUAAUACAUGCAAGUCGAGCGAACAGAUGAGAAGCUUGCUUCUCUGAUGUUAGCGGCGGACGGGUGAGUAACACGUGGGUAACCUACCUAUAAGACUGGGAUAACUCCGGGAAACCGGGGCUAAUACCGGAUAAUAUUUUGAACCGCAUGGUUCAAUAGUGAAAGACGGUUUCGGCUGUCACUUAUAGAUGGACCCGCGCCGUAUUAGCUAGUUGGUAAGGUAACGGCUUACCAAGGCGACGAUACGUAGCCGACCUGGGAGGGUGAUCGGCCACACUGGAACUGAGACACGGUCCAGACUCCAACGGGAGGCAGCAGUAGGGAAUCUUCCGCAAUGGGCGAAAGCCUGACGGAGCAACGCCGCGUGAGUGAAGAAGGUUUUCGGAUCGUAAAACUCUGUUGUUAGGGAAGAACAAGGAUGAGAGUAACUGCUCGUCCCUUGACGGUAUCUAACCAGAAAGCCAUGGCUAACUACGUGCCAGCAGCCGCCGUAA